UACGAAGGGGGCUAGCGUUGCUCGGAAUUACUGGGCGUAAAGGGAGCGUAGGCGGACAGUUUAGUCAGAGGUGAAAGCCCAGGGCUCAACCUUGGAAUUGCCUUUGAUACUGGCUGUCUUGAGUAUGGGAGAGGUGUGUGGAACUCCGAGUGUAGAGGUGAAAUUCGUAGAUAUUCGGAAGAACACCAGUGGCGAAGGCGACACACUGGCCCAUUACUGACGCUGAGGCUCGAAAGCGUGGGGAGCAAACAGG
rnacentral:rRNA from 1 species